rnacentral:rRNA from 1 species
AGACCCGAAACCCGGUGAUCUAGCCAUGGGCAGGUUGAAGGUUGGGUAACACUAACUGGAGGACCGAACCGACUAAUGUUGAAAAAUUAGCGGAUGACCUGUGGCUGGGGGUGAAAGGCCAAUCAAACCGGGAGAUAGCUGGUUCUCCCCGAAAGCUAUUUAGGUAGCGCCUCGUGAAUUCAUCUCCGGGGGUAGAGCACUGUUUCGGCUAGGGGGCCAUCCCGGCUUACCAACCCGAUGCAAACUGCGAAUACCGGAGAAUGUUAUCACGGGAGACACACGGCGGGUGCUAACGUCCGUCGUGAAGAGGGAAACAACCCAGACCGCCAGCUAAGGUCCCAAAGUCAUGGUUAAGUGGGAAACGAUGUGGGAAGGCCCAGACAGCCAGGAUGUUGGCUUAGAAGCAGCCAUCAUUUAAAGAAAGCGUAAUAGCUCACUGGUCGAGUCGGCCUGCGCGGAAGAUGUAACGGGGCUAAACCAUGCACCGAAGCUGCGGCAGCGACGCUGAUGCGUUGUUGGGUAGGGGAGCGUUCUGUAAGCCUGCGAAGGUGGCCUGUGAGGGUUGCUGGAGG